rnacentral:tRNA from 1 species
GAGAAAGUCAUGAAGGUUAUAGGGUUGACUUGAAAUCAAUUUUUUGAGGGUUCGAUUCCUUCCUUCCUCG